rnacentral:rRNA from 1 species
GAUAAACGCUAGCGGCAGGCUUAACACAUGCAAGUCGAGGGGCAGCAUAGAUUGUAGCAAUACAAUUGGUGGCGACCGGCGCACGGGUGCGUAACGCGUAUGCAACCUACCCGUCACAGGGGGAUAAUCCGGAGAAAUCUGGUCUAAUACCCCAUAACAUAUGGAUCGGCAUCGGUUCAUGUUGAAAUUUUCGGAGGUGACGGAUGGGCAUGCGUAGCAUUAGCUUGUUGGUGAGGUAACGGCUCACCAAGGCGACGAUGCUUAGGGGGACUGAGAGGUUUUCCCCCCACACUGGUACUGAGACACGGACCAGACUCCUACGGGAGGCAGCAGUGAGGAAUAUUGGUCAAUGGGCGCAAGCCUGAACCAGCCAUGCCGCGUGCAGGAUGACGGCUCUAUGAGUUGUAAACUGCUUUUGUACGAGGGUAAAGUGGGUUACGUGUAACCUUUUGAAAGUAUCGUACGAAUAAGGAUCGGCUAACUCCGUGCCAGCCGCCGCCGUAA